CAGGAGUGAACACACGACAGGAGUGAACACACGACAGGAGAAGACGACAGGAGAAGACGACAGGAGUGAACACACGACAGGAGAAGAACACACAAAACAGUGGAGACCCACAACAUACCGAGUCCUCAUUGUUUUAGUAAAAAAUAUUUUUGAUAUUUGGCUGUUAGCAUAGCCCCUUUAGGCUAUUAGCACAACUCUGAUGUUGGCCGAUGGUAGCUAGAGCUAGCCACAUGCUAACCUGAGUACUAACAUUACUAAAGUUACUAGCAGCAGUAGCAAUACAUCCAGGUAAAUGGCUACCAUGAUAUACUGCAAGUAGGAUGGAGCCUCCAUCCUACUAAACUACACUGCCGCAGGUACAGCCUCCAUCCUACUAAACUACACUGCCGCAGGUACAGAUCUAUACAGCCUCCAUCCUAGCAGGUACAGAUCCAUACAGCCUCCAUCCUACUAAACUACACUGCAGCAGGUACAGAUCCAUACAGCCUCCAUCCUACUAAACUACACUGCAGCAGGUACAGAUCCAUACAGCCUCCAUCCUACUAAACUACACUGCAGCAGGUACAGAUCCAUACAGCCUCCAUCCUACUAAACUACACUGCAGCAGGUACAGAUCCAUACAGCCUCCAUCCUACUAAACUACACUGCAGCAGGUACAGAUCCAUACAGCCUCCAUCCUACUAAACUACACUGCCGCAGGUACAGAUCCAUACAGCCUCCAUCCUACUAAACUACACUGCAGCAGGUACAGAUCCAUACAGCCUCCAUCCUACUAAA